GCCUGAGUGGACAAAUCGGCAAAGUCCGUAGCCUUAGAAGCUAUAAUCGUUGGUACAGGUUCGAGUCCUGUCUUGGGCA
rnacentral:tRNA from 1 species